GCCGGGUGUGGUGGUGCGUGCCUGUAAUCCCAGCUACUCAGGAGGCUGAGGCAGGAGGAUUGCUUGAACCCGGGAGGCGGAGAUUGCAGUGAGCUGAGAUUGCACCACUGCACUCCAGCCUGGGCAACAGAGUGAGACUCUGUCUCUA
rnacentral:SRP_RNA from 1 species